CGCGUAGGCGGCUUUGUAAGUCAGGCGUGAAAUUCCUGGGCUCAACCUGGGGGCUGCGCUUGAGACUGCGGAGCUAGAGGAUGGAAGAGGGUCGUGGAAUUCCCAGUGUAGAGGUGAAAUUCGUAGAUAUUGGGAAGAACACCGGUGGCGAAGGCGGCGACCUGGUCCAUUACUGACGCUGAGGCGCGACAGCGUGGGGAGCGAACAGGAUUAGAUACCCGUGUA
rnacentral:rRNA from 1 species